rnacentral:tRNA from 1 species
GUCCGCGUGGCCUAACGGAUAAGGCGUUCGAAUCAGAAGAUUGCGGGUUCGAAUCCUGUCGCGGACG